rnacentral:lncRNA from 1 species
UUUACAGAUGAGGUCACUGAGGCCCAGAGAAGUGAAGUGACUCGCCCACAGUCACCCAGCUGACAAGCGGCAGAUCUGGGAUUCGAACCCAUGACCUCUGACUGCCCAGCCCGGGCUCUUUCCACUGAGCCACGCUGCUUCCCUGCUUCCCUUCCAUAUAGAUAUGCCUUGAUGUUGAAAUAAAUAUUUUACCACAAGUAUAUUCUUCUGGGGCCUUUACAGGAAGGAAGUGCACUGAUGGUUUCCAGAAAUUUGGGUCGUGGCAGCUAGACCAGGAUAGAUUGCUAUCGAAACCAAUACACGGUAAUCAGGUUGUCCCACAAGGGGCUCUCAGUAGGUGACCGAGGCACAGAGAGGUUAAAUGGCUCGCCCAAGCUCACGCAGCAGACAAGUGGCAGAGCCGGGAUUAGAAGCCAGCUCCUUUGACUCCCAAGCCCGGGCUCUUUCCACCGAGCCACGCCGCUUCUCUACGUUGCAGUUCAGCAGGUGGGCUGGGGUCUGCCCAAUUCUUCAAUUUCCAAUUGAUUUUCCACCUGACUCCACUUCCCAUCAUUCCAGACCUUAAAAGGGGAAUAAGCUCAAGAUCCUGGAGUUUAACUGCAGAGCACAUGGUGAGUGUUGGAGAGACUCAAGUUUAAAACCCUUUUCCCUUUCAGCUGACACAGUAACCCAAAUCCAGCUCACCCGCCGAUGAUGUCACGCAGUUUGAAAAGCUAUAUUCCUUGCACCCGCUCUGUACCUUUCCUACAUCACGGAGAACCGAGAUGAAAUCGAUGUCGGCUGGUUGAAAAUUGAAGCGCAAUGAAAAGAGAAAUCUAAAUGUUGGAACGUUCUGUACCGAGGAGACAGUCUUGUGCAACGAAUAUACCCGGUGUUCUCCUUAACUGGUCUCAGGAAAUCCAUUUUGAUGAGAGGAUUUCAAAUGUAAUGGAUCGAGUCGGACCACUCCGUCAAUCAAAGUAUUUCUUGAACGCCUUCUGUGUCCAGAGCCCUGGGCUCUGCACCUGGGAGAGUACGAGAGAAUCGGCAGACUGGUCCUCCCCCUGGAGAAGCUUACAAUCUAGUGGGAGAGACAGACGUUAAGAAACAUUGCAGAUAGGAGAAACAAGGAAAAGAGCCCUCCCUCUCGUUUCCUCUUCGUGGGACAAAAAUGACGAAGACAGGCGAUUUUUGAAUCCGUCUUCAGAGGCUUCGCGGUCCAAUAUCUGAUGAGGUUGCAAAAGCGACGUUCCUAAAUAUCUGGACCCGAUCCAUGAUGAUCUGCAAUCUUCAUCAUGAGGGUUAGGCGGAAACCCAAGGGUCAGCAGGGGAGGGUUCGGCAAAUCCCAUCCUCUCCUCGCCCCCUCGUCGCCAUGAAUUCCAGGACCUGCAUUCCUGAGAGAUCUGUUUCCCAGGAGAGUCAUCUGUUAUUCGCUCCAGAGCUGGCUAAUUGAAGAUUGCAUCUACGGCUUGGCAGGUCUCUUCGACCCAUAAACUCUGAGCUGUCCCGUUCUCUAGGCUUGCUUCAAGAUGGCUGGGGCUCCAACUCAUUCUGCUUUCUUCCAAAGUUUGGGGUUAAAUUAGAGCGGCGCAGAUAUUGGAUCCUGGAGCAGAACCAGUUACGUACCCUUUGAAGGAGGAUUAGGAGAACUCAAGUCCUUCCUUGCAGGGUGGGAGGAAAGAUGAAAAGAGAAGGUACCGACAGAAUGUUGGACCUUCGUCAGCACCUUGGUGAUGAUUUCACUUUGUUCUCCCUGGUAUCUUCUCUCGCUCUAGGAUGUUCAUCAAAGUCUCAAUCCUCAGCACAGUGCUUACCACGAGGUGAAAGUCUCUCCCCAUAAGAAACGAUGGAUGGACUUCGGUUCAGUCAUUUCCUGGGCAUUUGGGCAAGAGGGACAGAGCUUUGGUGCUUAGUUUGAAAAACCUCUUAGGUUUUGGGGUUUUUUUAUGAUAUUCGUUAAGUGCUUACUCUGCGUCAGACGAUGUACUGAAUGCUGGUGUAGAUACAAGUUAAUCCGGUCGGUUUCGGUCCACGUCCCACACGGGGCCGACAAUUUUAAUCCCCAUUUUGCAGAUGAGGUACCUGAAGCCCAGAGAGGUGAAGUGACUUGCCCAAGGGCACCCGGCAGACAAGGGGCAGAGCCGGGGUUAGAACCCAGAUCUUUCUGACUCCCAGGCCCUUUGUCUAGCCACUAGGCCUCGCUGCUUCUCUGUUUCCACGCUCCCUCUGCCCAAUUUUCAGAGAGAUAGGUGUGAACUGACAGUUAUGUAUUGCUUUGCAAGGUUCCCAGUGAACUGAAAAUCCCAGCCAGGUUAGAACAAACAUGCUAUAAGCAAAGAAUAAUUUAAUCACUUACUUGCCUCCGGGGCUGGUAUCUCGGGAAAGAAGGAGACUCGUGUGCCAGCCUGUAUUAAAGCAGAUGAUUGGCUCGAAGCUGGUCGUGAGCUGUUUCCAGGAGCCUGCAGCAGAGACCACCAAACUUGUACAUGUCCAUGGAUUCCUGCCCGAGGCAAUCAACCGUUUCCAUCAAAUUCACUCUCUGUUUGACCCAGGGAGGGAGGGAGAGAGGGAAGAGCCAAAAAACUCGGUCAGUUUUUUGCAAGUCAAUCCCAGCUGUCUUGGGCUAAGC